UGUCUUGUGUUCUGUAUAGUGGGGUAGAGUGUCUCUGGGACUGUGUCUUGUGUUCUGUAUAGUGGGGUAGAGUGUCUCUGGGACUGUAUCUUGUGUUCUGUAUAGUGGGGUAGAGUGUCUCUAGGACUGUGUCUUGUGUUCUGUAUAGUGGGGUAGAGUGUCUCUGGGACUGUGUCUUGUGUUCUGUAUAGUGGGGUAGAGUGUCU